ensembl:lncRNA
GGGAGGUCUGGAGGCGGCGCUGCUAUUGGACACUUGACAGUAUAGUGUAUAUGGCGAGGCUCUGGUUAGCACACGGGCCUGUGACGGCCUCAGACAGGCUCACAUCUGACAUGAGCUUGUUGAUGUUGUGGCAGCUGUUGAUCUCACUUACGUGUUUUCGUUCAAUUCAAGCCGCUUCUCUGCAUUUCCUGGCUGCUCACGGAUCCCGUUGCCUCACCCUGACACUAAAAUUAGCGCCGCAGCUCUGGAUCUUUUAACGUAUGAUGUAAAAAUAGCAGCGAGGGAAGUCUGACCACCACACAGCAGAUAUCCAGAGCAGACGGAGUGUAAGGCGUUUAACUUAACGUUAACUGUUACUGGUCACAGCAGGGAAUGUAAACAGACAAACAGACUUUAAGAGGGAAAGAGACAGAAAGACAUCAGGCAACAGGAUGUUGUCAAAAAAGGAUUCGAAGAGAACUUUCAGCAACGGGUCGCUCAGAGACCAAUGGGAGCAGAAGGCUCAGAGCGUGGCCGACCAGUGCAAACAGGAGGCCGAAUGGAAGAAGAAAAGUUCCCACAAAAUAUCUUUCUCAAAAGUGGAAUUAUCACUGGUCACUUGUUUCCAAUGGAGACUUCAAGAAGCUCACCAGCGGAGCAGAUGAAGAGGAAAACAAGCCAAAAAUUAAAUUCAAAGUAGUCCCCCCUCCUCCCAAACCCAGACAUGAGCCCGCUCCCCCUCCUCCCCCCAAGAAAGCAGCUUCGCCCAAACUUCAUAGGCCAAAACGUAAAGUUGAAGUGGAUGUAUUUAAGCUCUGCUGGAAAGACUCCUGGAUGAGCCUGAAGCCACCAAAGUAUCUCUACCUGAAGGCCAAAGAGAUAAAAACCCAAAUCCCAGGGUUCACAACCAUAGAACUGACUAACAACAGGGAAUACAAACCAAAGGAAUACGGACUGGAGGACCAAUGGGCGUCUCCUGCUGAUGAAUGGCGUGACUCCUGGAAACAGGUGAGGAGUCCUGCCCAGCUGGAGCGCUCGGAGGAGAAACAAUCCCAGUCGAACAUUUUAUUUGAAAGAAUGAUGAAUUGCCAAACUGAGAUAGAAGUGUUUUCUCUUCCUGUCUGGGCCGGUACUUGGAAGAUGAUGAACUUUGCCUUCAGACAGGAAAAGAAGAAUUGGGAUCGUAUCUGGCCUGAAUAUCAACAAAUCUGCAGCAACAAGUUUGACCAAGUACAACAACUAGAGGAGCAGGAAGAGCCUUCGGACUGGGAGGGUUCAUGGAAGAUGUCGGGUAUUCAGCCUGAAACCAAAGACAUCGAGGAGCCAACCGCAAGCGCGAAAACCAUGGUGAUGACGAGGAUAAGCAACGUGUUCAUGCCCGGGUGGAGCGACUCCUGGCUACUCUCCGCUGCUCCUCCCGAGGAAGAAGAAGAACGCCGCAAAAACUGGAGCUCCUGCUGGGGAUUCAGGCAGCAGACCAGGUGGUGCCAGUCUUCGCUGCAGUCCCAUCAUGAACACAGCGCCAUGCUGACUAAGAGACGUGAAGACAAAAACCUCCUCCUCACGUCCCAGCUGGACGAGGAGAUCAUGGACAGCACAGAGUGGACGGAGGCCUGGAGGACUCCUAAAGGAUGGAUCAAACCAGAGGAGGACAAAAUGGACGAGAGGAUGAGUGACACAGACGGACAGGAGGAGGACGAAGGAGUGGAAUAUGAGGAGGAUGUAGAAGGAGAUGGGGAGAUGCAGGAAGAGGUGCAGGAGGAAGAAGAG